GGGCCUAUGGCGCAACGGUAGCGCGUCUGAACUCCACAUCAGAAGGCUGGGGGUUCGAAUCCCUCUGGGCUCA
rnacentral:tRNA from 1 species